AAACUCUGGGCGCUAUUGCUAAUUAGUGCUGCACAACUGCCGUCCUCUAAAGCCACCUCCACUCCUCACUGGUGUGGCAUUCUGAGCCUUUGGUAGGAAAACGGGGUUCUGAGUCUCCUGCCUGGCAGCUUGAUGGCCGGCAUAGAAAAGACAGCUAAUGCUCUGAGCUCCCACUUUUUCUGUGAAUAUUUAGAUAGUUUUUUGAUCUGAAGCAUGGUCAGGUAAAUGACUAUCGGCAAACACAAGGCAGGCGUGAAAUCUUUGCCACGCUUUGUCACCUUAAAGGACAACCAAAACACAUGGCCCACACCCCUCUCGUCUGUAUGGGCUUCCUGGAACUGGGCUUCCCCGGGAGGGGUGGGCCCCAAGAGGACUCCCGGGGGUCGCUGGAGGUCCUGGAGUCCAGAGUUGGGACUCUGGCCCCAGCGGCCCAAAACGCCGCCCUCCCAGACUUCCUUGCGCCGCCGGGGCCCUCCCGGCCCGCGCUGACCCUCAUGCCCCCAGGGGCGCUGAGACCUGGAGGCCUCUGCCCGGCCUGCUGCCCAGGCCACCGCCCGCGGCGACUCCCAGGCAGAGAAGCCCCAGCGCCUCUCCCGCCCCGCCCGGCCACUGGCCCCCAGGCCGCAAGGGCGAACAGGUUCCCGCCUCCGCCUGCCUUUGCCCUUGGGGGUCGGGGACACAGCCACUCUCCUUCUGCCUCUCACUGGCUUCCCUUCCCCCUCUCUCCCGCUCUGUAUGCUUCCCCCUCGAGCCAGAAGGAGGCCCUGUGCUAGCCGCCCUCCCCGAGGACCCAGCCCGCGCCAUCCGGCUUCCUCCAGUGGGUGCCUGCAGGACCCAGAAUCGAAGCGGCCCUUUGCCCGGGGCUCGGAGAGGCAUCGAAAUUGAACUCGUCCACACAGCCCCCUGACUGCGUGGUGCCCAUUUCUGACUUAAAACAUUCCUUGCACUUUUGUUUACACGCUCGAAGUUUCAGUGUGCCUAGAUUUUCCUCCAAGGACAAAAAUGUGAAUAAAGCAAUAUUUUAGUCAAACA